AUUGAACUCUGGCGGCAGGCCUAACACAUGCAAGUCGAACGAGUGGCAGACGGGUGAGUAAUGUCUGGGAAACUGCCCGAUGGAGGGGGAUAACUAAUGGAAACGGUAGCUAAUACCGCAUACCAUCGGAUGUGCCCAGAUGGGAUUAGCUAGUAGGUGGGGUAACGGCUCACCUAGGGGACGAUCCCUAGCUGGUCUGAGAGGAUUACCAGCCCCACUGGAACGGAGACACGGUCCAGAUUCCUACGGGAGGCAGCAGUGGGGAAUAUUGCAAGAUGGGCGCAAGCCUGAUGCAGCCAUGCCGCGUGUAUGAAGAAGGCCUUCGGGUUGUAAAGUACUUUCAGCGGGGAGGCGUUACCCGCAGAAGAAGCACCGGCUAACUCCGUGCCAGCCGCCGCGGUAAUAC
rnacentral:rRNA from 1 species